CCUACGGGAGGCAGCAGUGGGGAAUAUUGCACAAUGGGGGAAACCCUGAUGCAGCGACGCCGCGUGAAGGAAGAAGUACUUCGGUACGUAAACUUCUAUCAGCAGGGAAGAAAAUGACGGUAACUGACUAAGAAGCUAUGGCCAAUUACGUGAUAGCAGCCGCGGUAAAACGCAGGGGGCAAGCGUUAUCCGGAUUGACUGGGUGUAACGGGAGCGUAGGCGGUUUAGCAAGUCAGAAGUGAAAGCCCAGGGCUCAACUCCGGGACUGCUAUUGAAACUGUUGAACUAGAUUGCAGGAGAGGAUAGUAGAAUUCCUGGUGUAGCGGUGAAAUGCGUAGAUAUUAGGAGGAACACCAGUGGCGAAGGCGGCUUACUGGACUGUAAAUGACGCUGAGGCUCGAAAGCGUGGGGAGCAAACAGGAUUAGAUACCCGAGUAGUC
rnacentral:rRNA from 1 species